AACGAACGCUGGCGGCAGGCUUAACACAUGCAAGUCGAGCGCCCCGCAAGGGGAGCGGCAGACGGGUGAGUAACACGUGGGAAUCUACCCAUCCCUACGGAACAACUCCGGGAAACUGGAGCUAAUACCGUAUACGCCCUUCGGGGGAAAGAUUUAUCGGGGAUGGAUGAGCCCGCGUUGGAUUAGCUAGUUGGUGGGGUAAAGGCCUACCAAGGCGACGAUCCAUAGCUGGUCUGAGAGGAUGAUCAGCCACAUUGGGACUGAGACACGGCCCAAACUCCUACGGGAGGCAGCAGUGGGGAAUAUUGGACAAUGGGCGCAAGCCUGAUCCAGCCAUGCCGCGUGAGUGAUGAAGGCCUUAGGGUUGUAAAGCUCUUUCACCGAUGAAGAUAAUGACGGUAGUCGGAGAAGAAGCCCCGGCUAACUUCGUGCCAGCCGCCGCGGUAA
rnacentral:rRNA from 1 species